rnacentral:lncRNA from 1 species
CUCUCCACUUCCUCUCCCACUCGAUUUGAAAUUACAUUCGUAGCUCUAUCAGUUGCCCUUGCACUCAAAAAAAGCCAUCUUAGAGAGCGUACUCAAUGCUAUAUCACGAGAGGCACUUUACAACAAAGAGAAUGGAGACAGACAAGUAACAAGGUUGCUGGUUUCCAUUCCACAAGCAUGGCCUAAUCUGAAUUUCUUUCUGCAGCACAAAGAAUGACCGUCUUCUAAAUACAAAUUUUAAAACAAAAUGUCAAAGAAAUGUGUUUCAUGAAAGAUAUUAACCACUUCACUUGUAAUUUGCAGAGACUCUGUAAUAGACUACAAAAAUAGUGGGAAGGAAGUGCUAAUAUAAGUAAAACUAAAAAACUUAGAUGCUACAUCUACACAUCAGUUAAAAGUUGGCAUCAGAUUGCUUCAUUUCAGCAACUUUUGGUUACUUUAACUUGAGAAUCCUAAGUUUAUUGCUCCAAGGAUGAAACAAAAAUGUCUAUCAAAGUAUAAAAAAUUUUCAAUUUCAAAAUGUCCAGCAGAAUUCUCACUUUGUCCCUUGAACUCACAUAAGCCUAUCACUAUGAACUUCAAACCCCCAUUAUAGAUUUGUCUUUCUCAAUCCUGUAUGUACACACACUCUACGCACUUGCAUGAUUGAACAUGUAUUCACUUCGUCUUCUCUUCUAACUUUUGUUAACUUUCUUUAUUACAACAUUAAUAUAUAAUAAGAUGCUUUGCUAAGAUCAUUAGAAUGACGGGGGAAAAAAUCCAGACUAUCUCCCCUCCCCCACCACAGUGGACAUCCUGACCACACCACUCUUUUAAAUAAGAAUUGAUCUACCUAGUAACCCACUCUUUAAACAAACAUGCCACAAAUAGCUAACAGGAAAGCUUCUUGUAGAUAGCAUAAUUUCCUGAAGGCACCCACCUGGCAAAGACAAUCGUUUAAUGCAACAACGAUAACAUGCUACAUUAUUCCAAAAAGUAAUCCAUCCAUGCUAAUAUGAAAGAGCAGAUUAUCCCCAGAAUGGUUACUGACACACAAAAUGGCAAAAAGUUGUGCUCUUAAAUGAAAGGCAUAAUAGACAUCAGAUGCAUGCAACAUAGUAUAGUCUUAAAUAUGCUUCAAAUUCUUCAAUAGACAUGUAUUCAUUAUCCAUCAAGUCAUAUGUUUCGAUCAUCUCUUUGCAACAUGCUUCAAACUCUUCAAUAUUCUGCAAAUCAUACACCAAACUAUGUAUAGCCUCAAAUAUGCAUGCCUUAUGAACAUGGCAUUCGAACUUCUCCAACAAUUUUUUCAAACUGUGCCACAAACACUACCUAUUCUUUGUAUCUUGAUCAGUAAUUAUUCCAUGAGGAGCUCUACCGUGCGUGCACUGAAGCCAUGUCUUAACAGCUACACAAAGGUAUCUGUGUCCUCAUUCGAUAACAAUUCACAACCAACUAGUUGAUUGACCGUGAGCAUUCACGCCAACAAAAGGUACGAAUGGCAUGUUAUAUUUGUUAGUGAGAUAAGUGGUAUUGAAUGUAACAAUAUCAUCAAACUCCAUGUAUGCCUACCUACACUUAUUAUCAGACCAAAACACGUUCUUCAGGCAAGACUCGUCAUCUAAAUCCAUACUAAAGUAAAAACUCGAGCAUCAUGCUUGCAUUUUCGAAAAAUAACAUUGUAUUACGGUCACAUCUCCUUCUCCAAGUCACAAUCGCCUUACUUGUUCAAUAUAAUUGCGACGAUCCUUUUCCACACAUGUCAUAUUUUCAUAUCUCCCUACUUCAACAACUGCAGAAUUGAAACUUUUGUGCAACGAAAUUCCUGCCAAAUCUUUCACUUCAAGUUUUCAUUUCACAGUUGCCCUCAACUCUCUAUUGCAUUGAUACAACCUAGACUUGUAAGGGCUAGUUCGAUGGUUAUGGUCAAGAUGGACUAUGUUAAUUCUCCACAUUCCAUUAUUAUCUGAAGAAGCAAAGAUCAUUGCUUUACAAUCUGUCUGAUUGAUUGGUUGUUGAUUUAAAGAGCCGUUUGCAUUACUUGUUUUUCUACCUUCACGACUACAUGUCAAAAUCACAUAUUUCAACAGUGCAUCGUCCCCCUUUUUCGAACUGGAAAACCAACAUUACAAGUAUAUCUCUUGUAGAAAUCGAACAAUUCCUUAUCAUUGUUGAAAUCAUGCUCACCUCAAGUACAAUCGGCCCAUUGUGUCCUAAUGUUUCUUCUUCAACCCUGAUCACAUUCUCUGCAACAUUGUCAGUAUCGAACUCCGAAACAAGUUCUUCAGUCACAUUUUCUCUAAUUUCCUACGUUGCAAGAAAAUAAGCUUAAUGUUAGUCAUCACAUACACCAAUUCCACAAUAAAAUGUAAUUUUAGUUUAACAAUUCAU